rnacentral:lncRNA from 1 species
UAACCAAUACUUGGCCUCUUCGAAGGAGAUGUCCUUGCAAAGGUAGAUGGGUUUAGUCUCUUAAACUUCUCAAUGUAGCUUGGGUCCAUCAUGGGUGGAACCGGGUCUCAUUAAAGAGGACUGGAUUAUGCUGGGGAGGGACCAGGUAGGCUUGUGGCGGCACUUGGUUGUAUGGUAGGGGAACCAAAUUAUAUUGUUGCAGUGUCGAAUGAUAUGGUAG